AGGUCAAGCUACAAAGGGCGCAUGGUGAAUGCCUUGGCACUAGGAGCCGAAGAAGGACGCGAUAAGCUGCGAUAAGCCUUGGGUAGCCGCAAAUAGGCUGAGAUCCAGGGAUUUCCGAAUGAGGAAACUCACAUGGGUAACCCCAUGUAUCAUGCACUGAAUACAUAGGUGUAUGAGGGUAAACCCGGGGAACUGAAACAUCUAAGUACCCGGAGGAAGAGAAAGAAAAAUCGAUUUCCUAAGUAGCGGCGAGCGAACGGGAAAGAGCCCAAACCAGAAACUUGUUUCUGGGGUUGUGGAUAGAUCAUAAAAGAAGAGGUAUCUUAAUCGAAGAGGGCUGGAACGCCCUACCAUAGAAGGUAAUAGUCCUGUAGGUAAAAAGAGAAAACUUCGAGAUCUAAUCCAGAGUACCACGAGACACGUGAAACCUUGUGGGAAGCAGGGAGGACCACCUCCCAAGGCUAAAUACUACCUAGUGACCGAUAGUGAAGCAGUACCGUGAGGGAAAGGUGAAAAGAACCCCGGAAGGGGAGUGAAAUAGAACCUGAAACCGUGUGCCUACAACCGAUCGGAGCACGUUAAAGUGUGACGAUGUGCUUUU
rnacentral:rRNA from 1 species